rnacentral:rRNA from 1 species
GAAAGGAUUUAUUCGGUAAAAGAUGGGCCCGCAUCUGAUUAGCUAGUUGGUGAGAUAAUAGCCCACCAAGGCAACGAUCAGUAGCCGACCUGAGAGGGUGACCGGCCACAUUGGGACUGAGACACGGCCCAAACUCCUACGGGAGGCAGCAGUGGGGAAUAUUGCACAAUGGGGGAAACCCUGAUGCAGCAACGCCGCGUGAAGGAAGACGGUUUUCGGAUUGUAAACUUCUAUCAAUAGGGAAGAAAGGAAUGACGGUACCUAAAUAAGAAGCCCCGGCUAACUACGUGCCAGCAGCCGCGGUAAUACGUAGGGGGCAAGCGUUAUCCGGAAUUACUGGGUGUAAAGGGAGAGUAGGCGGCAAGGUAAGCGAUAUGUGAAAGCCUUAGGCUUAACCUGAGGAUAGCAUAACGAACUAUCUAGCUAGAGUACAGGAGAGGAAAGCGGAAUUCUUAGUGUAGCGGUGAAAUGCGUAGAUAUUAGGAAGAACACCAGUGGCGAAGGCGGCUUUCUGGACUGAAACUGACGCUGAGGCUCGAAAGCGUGGGGAGCGAACAGGAUUAGAUACCCUGGUAGUCCACGCUGUAAACGAUGAGUGCUAAGUGU